AGUGGAUGGGGAGCAACCUAGUUGUGCGUGUGUAAAGGUAGUGCCAAGAAAAGCGAUGAUCAUGUUGAAAAUCAAUUCCCGGUACCCGAAACCGACACAGGUGGGCAAGUAGAGAAUACUAAGGGGCGCGAGGUAACUCUCUCCAAGGAACUCGGCAAAAUGACCCCGUAACUUAGGGAGAAGGGGUGCCACCGAGAGGUGGUCGCAGUGAAGAGGCCCAGGCGACUGUUUAGCAAAAACAUAGGUCUCUGCAAACUCGAAAGAGGAGGUAUAGGGGCUGACGCCUGCCCAGUGCCGGAAGGUUAAAGAAGUUGGUCAGUUUUAGGAUGAAGCUAGCGACUGAAGCCCCGGUGAACGGCGGCCGUAACUAUAACGGUCCUAAGGUAGCGAAAUUCCUUGUCGGGUAAGUUCCGACCCGCACGAAAGGCGUAACGAUCUGGGCGCUGUCUCGGAGAGAGGCUCGGCGAAAUAGGAUUGUCUGUGAAGAUACGGACUACCUGCAUUUGGACAGAAAGACCCUAUGAAGCUUUACUAUAGCUUGGAAUUGUGUUCGGGCUUCCUGUGCGCAGGAUAGGUGGGAGGCGUAGAAGGUAUUCUUGUGGGGAUACUGGAGCCAACGGUGAGAUACCACUCUCAGGAGGCUAGAAUUCUAACUUAAUUAAGGACAGUUUCAGGUGGGUAGUUUGACUGGGGCGGUCGCCUCCAAAAAGGUAACGGAGGCGUACAAAGGUUCCCUCAGACUGGUUGGAAAUCAGUCGAAGAGUGCAAAGGCAGAAGGGAGCUUGACUGCGAGAAGUACAGUUCGAGCAGGGUGGAAACACGGUCUUAGUGAUCCGACGGUGCUGUGUGGAAGGGCCGUCGCUCAACGGAUAAAAGUUACUCUAGGAUAACAGGCUGAUCUCCCCCAAGAGUUCACAUCGACGGGGAGGUUUGGCACCUCGAUGUCGGCUCAUCGCAACCUGGGGCGGAAGUACGUCCCAAGGGUUGGGCUGUUCGCCCAUUAAAGCGGUACGUGAGCUGGGUUCAGAACGUCGUGAGACAGUUCGGUCCAUAUCCGAUGUAGGCGUGAGAAUAUUGAGAGGAGCCCUCCUUAGUACGAGAGGACCGGGAAGGACGCACCGCUGGUGUACCUGUUAUGAUGCCAAUUGUAAACGCAGGGUAGCCAAGUGCGGAGAGGAUAACCGCUGAAAGCAUCUAAGUGGGAAGCCCACCUCAAGAUGAGUAUUCUGGUGUAAGGUCACGGGAAGACGACCCGUAAAUAGGCACGAGGUGGAAGUGCAGAGAUGUAUGAAGCCGAAGUGUGCUAAUAGACCGUCGGCUUGACC
rnacentral:rRNA from 1 species